ACCAGACUCCUACGGGAGGCAGCAGUGGGGAAUAUUGCACAAUGGGGGAAACCCUGAUGCAGCAACGCCGCGUGGGUGAAGGAGCGUUUCGGCGCGUAAAGCCCUGUCAGCGGGGAAGAAGAAAGACGGUACCCGACCAAGAAGCCCCGGCUAACUACGUGCCAGCAGCCGCGGUAAUACGUAGGGGGCAAGCGUUAUCCGGAUUUACUGGGUGUAAAGGGGGCGCAGACGGCAGCGCAAGCCAGGAGUGAAAGCCCGGGGCCCAACCCCGGGACUGCUCUUGGAACUGCGCGGCUGGAGUGCAGGAGGGGGAGGCGGAAUUCCUGGUGUAGCGGUGAAA
rnacentral:rRNA from 1 species